UCCAGCCACAAACAGGAAGACCGUCGGAGUAAAGGAUGGAUACAGAUACUUCACAAAAAAGUUGUCCCAAGCUUCUGGUAAAAGGCCUGAAGCAGCAAGAAGAAUACCCUCGACAAGGAUAAUUCCACCAAGUCCUAACCAAGCAAGAAGAAACGCACUCUCAUUUUUCUGAAAUUCCUUGGAUCCAGAUUCUUCCGCCGGUUGGGUAGCUAAGCUGGGCUUUUGAAUGGGUUCUCGUCGGAUAAUUGUAUCCCUCUCUCUUUUCCCCUUUUGUUGUUUCUUCUUUACUGUGGUGGAAACCGAUGACCCAAAACCUAAAGAAGUGGAGCUGGCUGCCUUCUUAGCUACCGGAGAUGAUGCAGUGUCCUCUGAAGAAUUAUCAGAAGAAGAGUUUUGGAAUUUGAUGGAGAAAUUUCUGGGGUUGGAGUGUUGAUGUGGUUGAGGGAGGAGAAGAUGAAGAUGAGGUCUCUUGGUAUGUGGUGAGUUCAG
rnacentral:misc_RNA from 1 species